AUUUGGAGCAGAUGAAGUUGGGAAAUGAAAACGUGGCCCCAGUCACUAUUUCACAACUCGCACUUGCCGUGAAAGGUUGAAGGGGGUGAUUCGGGAGUGUACGAACCUCACCUCCAAGACACUGCGGAGGGGCUACUUGUUGAUGAUUAAACUAUUGUAUCAGUAAAUUUUGAUAUUGUGGUGAUGCUCGUGUCGGUGAUUAACCACCGAUUGUUGGGUGGUUGAUGUUCAAUUUGUGAUUAUAAAAUUUUCCAACACUAUUUGGGCAUCAAGCAAAAUGCAGGACUCCAACAAUGGUGGCCGCUAAGGCCGUGAAAACGGGUGGCUUCAAGGGGGGGAAAAGGGGAAUCAACGAUGCUGACACCUCAUGGUAACGCCGAGAACUUUAUUCUCAGAAAAAAAAAAUAUUUUUUAAGAAAUACGUCUUCAUUACGACAAACGAUUGACCAAAUUACAAAAUGCAAUUGGAAAGAAUUCGUUCAUAGAAUUGAAAAAAAAUUUAUAGCUGAGUCUAGGUUAGAAGUUACUUCAAAAUAAAAUGAGAAAUUACUGCCAGAAUGUGAAGGACAUACACAAAUUUAUAAAAAUUAAUUAUGCAAUCGAAUAAUUCAAUCCGCACUUUGCUCAUCAAUGAUUUAUUUAGGGAAAACAUUAUUAUGAGUUCAGGUUGUGAUUGUGGGGAUUUAGGGAUGGACUGAGAUCGCGGUUUAUGGAAUUGAAUAAAUCAUUAUUCAGGUGAAAACGAACUACCAAAGCAAACGAUUUUAAUAUUGUAAUGUUUAUGUUGGAGAGAAUAAUCAGAUGAUUUACGUGCAAAGUAUAAUUUGAGUUGAAAAUUGUAUCGAUGAAUUUAUGGGGACAUAUUGUUAAAGUG